GGUUUGUAUGUCUCAGAUAACUCAUCCACUCUUUUCUUUUCUUCACUUAGAUUCGUAAUAAUACUGGGCUUAGGUUCUUCUAUUGAGUUAGUCUCAGUACUAACCACCUCUUCUAAAUUCACCUUUUGACUAACUCAGUACUAGCCUCACUCACCUGGACUUGAUAUGGAUCCUUAAGAAUCCUAUCACUUUUAAACUCAGAGAU
rnacentral:lncRNA from 1 species